AGAGCGGACGCUGGCGGCAGGCCUAACACAUGCAAGUCGAGCGCCCGUAGCAAUACGGGAGCGGCAGACGGGAUAGUAACACGUGGGAACGCGCCCUUCGGUUCGGAAUAACUCAGGGAAACUUGAGCUAAUACCGGAUACGCCCUUACGGGGAAAGAUUUAUUGCCGAAGGAACGGCCCGCGUCCGAUUAGCUAGUUGGUGAGGUAAUGGCUCACCAAGGCGACGAUCGGUAGCUGGUCUGAGAGGAUGACCAGCAUCACUGGGACUGAGACACGGCCCAGACUCCUACGGGAGGCAGCAGUGGGGAAUAUGGACAAUGGGCGCAAGCCUGAUCCAGCCAUGCCGCGUGGAUGAUGAAGGCCCUAGGGUUGUAAAGUCCUUUCGACGGGGAAGAUAAUGACGGUACCGUAGAAGAAGCCCGGCUAACUCGUGCCAGCAGCCGC
rnacentral:rRNA from 1 species